rnacentral:rRNA from 1 species
CAGUAGCCGCGGGAAAACGUAGGGUGCGAGCGUUGUCCGGAAUUACUGGGCGUAAAGAGCUCGUAGGCGGUUUGUCGCGUCGUCUGUGAAAUUCUGCAGCUUAACUGUAGGCGUGCAGGCGAUACGGGCAGACUUGAGUACUACAGGGGAGACUGGAAUUCCUGGUGUAGCGGUGAAAUGCGCAGAUAUCAGGAGGAACACCGGUGGCGAAGGCGGGUCUCUGGGUAGUAACUGACGCUGAGGAGCGAAAGCGUGGGUAGCGAACAGGAUUAGAUACCCCUGUAGUCCCUGUCUCUUAUAC